rnacentral:rRNA from 1 species
GACGAACGCUGGCGGCGUGCCUAACACAUGCAAGUCGAACGGAACUGUUUUGAAAGAUUUCUUCGGAAUGAAUUUGAUUUAGUUUAGUGGCGGACGGGUGAGUAACGCGUGAGUAACCUGCCUUCAAGAGGGGAAUAACAUUCUGAAAAGAAUGCUAAUACCGCAUGACAUAUCGGAACCACAUGGUUUUGAUAUCAAAGAUUUUAUCGCUUGAAGAUGGACUCGCGUCCGAUUAGUUAGUUGGUGAGGUAACGGCUCACCAAGACCGCGAUCGGUAGCCGGACUGAGAGGUUGAACGGCCACAUUGGGAGUGAGACACGGCCCAGACUCCUACGGGAGGCAGCAGUGGGGGAUAUUGCGCAAUGGGGGCAACCCUGACGCAGCAACGCCGCGUGAAGGAUGAAGGUUUUCGGAUUGUAAACUUCUUUUAUUAAGGACGAAAAAUGACGGUACUUAAUGAAUAAGCUCCGGCUAACUACGUG